ACAGCAGCAGGUGUAUCACUCCUGUUUCUACCUGGAGACAGCAGUCGCCUCAUUGUUCUGACACACAACACAAAACUAGCCACAACACUACACGCUAACUACACUGUAAAAAAUGGUAGUGAAAUUGACAUAAAAACCAUGUAAAAUCCCUACAGACAUGUAUAGUAAACCCCAAAACACAAGUUUUCUGUUUCAAUCACAGUGAACUUUUGUAAACUAUUAAACAGAAUGUUUUUGUUAUAUUUAUAACAUCAAUGUGUGAUUAUAAUCAAAUUUAUUUGUUAAAACUACAAAUAUUGGGAACAAAAACAGUGAAAUACUUUAAUACUCAUAACAAAGCAAUUAUGUUAAUUUGACAUGCAAAUAUUGUAAAAACUAUGGUUUUAGUCAGUUGUUUUUAAAAAUACAUGAAUUAUAUGUAAGUCACUUUACAAGUUUAUAAUGUAGGCCUGUAACGGACCUACUUUUAACAUGAUUCAUGAAAUUAUGCAAAUUCAGGUAUAGGGCUAAUAAAAAUGUUUUCACAGAAAAUGUCAUUGUGAACCUGAGAGGUUACUUCUCUAUUUUUAUGCUAUAUAAAGAUAUACAAUUAUAAUGACAUUGUCUGUUUUUUAAUCAUUCAGGCUAUUUGCAGCCUAUUGUAGAGUAACCAAUAAGAAAUUAUUAUUAUCGAUAGCCUAAGUAACACUUCUGUUCAGUUAUAAUCCUUGUAUUCUUUAUGUUUAUUUUAAUUGUAAUGUGAUACUUAGACUAGACUACUGUUUUUGGGUUAGGUCAGCAAUGUAUCAUAUCACAGGCUAAACAACCUAACAGUGCCUCCCAUAGGAUGUCUAUGGUGCCUCCUCUCCACAGAGCUGUAGCCUACUGUAACCUGCACUGAGUGCGCCUAAUUUUGAAUGUGCAUCUGUAGCUCGUCUCUGAUUGGAUAAUGACGUGAGGGCGGGAGGAGCGGGAGAAGAGCCGCUAGUUCACAGCUACAGUGAACGAACCAGCAGCACGCACCAUCUGCAAAACGAAGAGAGAAAACGUCGAGCUUUUACCAAGGACGUUUUUAGGACAAAUCACAAUUAUACGAUUUUGAUUGGUUUUUUUGAGGAUCUGUGGUUGUUCAUCUGAAAGUUUGCACGCUGUCUCUCUUUCUUUUAUUUCCGUGGACGUCACUUGCCAGCUGUCACUGAACGUCUCCCAAGAGCACGUUUUGCUUUUUUAAUGUUUUGCCCACUUGCACCAUUUUGUUUUUGCCUAAACCUGCACAAAGACAGAAAUGUGGCAUAAGGCCAGUCUCAGGGGUGCAUUCACAGCACUAUAUUUUCCAUUCUGCCUAUUAUUUAAAAAUAAA